rnacentral:piRNA from 1 species
UGUGAUUAAUUGCCAGAUAUGUUAGGAUCA